UGUCUCCUGUGGUGGUCACUUCUAUACCCAUUCCUAGCAUGGUGAAGCUGGGAACAUCCAAGAACAGCAAGCACUCAAAACUGCCGAACCACCACUCCCACCUUCUGGCAGUUGUGAGCUGUCCCUAGUGGUUGCUGAUAACUCUUAUCUGCUGAGCCGUUUCUCCAGUCUCUCCACUGAGCCUGGAGCUCACUGAUUAGGUGCUAACAUUCCAUCCCUGGUUUGUAUGGUGCUGGGGGAUUGAACCUAGGUCCUUGGUCAUGCUGGGAAAUAGAACUCUCCACAGGAACCCUUGCAUGAGUUAGAAAAUCAUUUUGCAUUGUGCUGCUAGGCCUGCAAGGUGCCCACCAUGGAGCACGGCUCACCUCUCUUGGAUGAAGCCCAGAGAGCCCUCGGUGCACAGACCGUAGGAAAUCACCCAGCUGAAGAGCUCAUUUUCUUUCAGGAUCAGUGUUGGAAGCUGCUGCGAUUCAAACGAGCAAAUGUUAGCUUCGAGAGGAAAUUGAUAAUUAUGCGAGGUCUGUUAAAUGAUCGUUGGCCAAGCACAUUUCAUUCCUUCAAAUGAGCUCGUGUCUACAGUUGUGGCAAUCGUUCACAGGCCAGGAAAGAAAACCAGCUCAGAUGAGGAUGGGCAUCACUUCCAAUAGGUCGUCGAGGUUCGAAGCACCUGGAAAGAAGUCAUCCGUUGGAGGCUGCAAACCAGAUUUAGUUGUAAUGUGAAUGAUUAGCCUAUAUUAACUCAUAAAUUAGAUACAUUAUCCUAAACUGCACUGAAUAAAUAUUGAGUAUGUAAGA
rnacentral:lncRNA from 1 species